AGGCGGAGAGGAGGACACACACAACAGAGGAGCAAGGCGUCGAGAGCGGAGAGGAAGAAGGACGGAACGAUGCGGCCCAAAGACCCACCAAAACGACGAAAGUCGCCCCAAAAUGCAACACUGGCCUGGGUAGACGACGGCGGAUAGAUACGGCCCGUGAAAUGGGUAUUCCCCCGAUGUUUCACAAAUUGCGUCAAAGAAGAAACAAGUUCAUCCAACCCAAGCUAAAUGGGUUGACGUUAGGCCACCAUGAUGUCGUGAACUGAGGGAUUCGGAAGAUUCACACUGCAACAGGGAUUUUGGAGGCAUGGGCUUGUGUGAAGAUUUGCAGAAUUCGAGGAAAAGGAAGACAGCUCUACACCAUUCAACUGGAUAUUGCUGAAGUGGAGACAGCGUUGUUAAACGUGAAGAUGGCAAAGUGAUUUGGCGGUUAGCCAAAUUUUGGCAAGAUGAAACAUUUUUUUCUGACUGGACUUUGAUGUUUGGAUUUUUAUUUUUUUUCCGACAACACGGACAGUGGAACACCGUUGCUGGCUGCGUAGUGGAAAAUUGAAAGUGAAAAAUUACACUGUUGUUUUUGGGAAACUCAAAAUCAGCCUUUGUACGUUUGAUAUUCAAUUGUUGUUUUUAAAUAAAGUGUAUGUCAUCGUA